rnacentral:rRNA from 1 species
GCGCGAAAACUUUACAAUGCUGGCAACAGCGAUAAGGGAACCUCGAGUGCCAGGUUACAAAUCUGGCUGUCGUGAUGCCUAAAAAGCAUUGCAUAGCAAGGGCCGGGCAAGACCGGUGCCAGCCGCCGCGGUAACACCGGCGGCUCGAGUGGUAACCGUUAUUAUUGGGUCUAAAGGGUCUGUAGCCGGCCGGAUAAGUCUCUUGAGAAAUCUGGCAGCUUAACUGUCAGGCUUUCAGGAGAUACUGUCUGGCUCGAGGCCGGGAGAGGUGAGAGGUACUUCAGGGGUAGGGGUGAAAUCUUGUAAUCCUUGAAGGACCACCAGUGGCGAAGGCGUCUCACCAGAACGGACCUGACGGCAAGGGACGAAAGCUAGGGGCACGAACCGGAUUAGAUACCCGGGUAGUCCUAGCCGUAAACGAUACUCGCUAGGUGUCGGCCACGGUGCGACCGUUGUCGGUGCCGUAGGGAAGCCGUGAAGCGAGCCACCUGGGAAGUACGGCCGCAAGGCUGAAACUUAAAGGAAUUGGCGGGGG